AGCAAAAGAAACCAACAGGGAUUGCCCUAGUAACGGCGAGUGAAGCGGCAACAGCUCAAAUUUGAAAUCUGGCCCUCGGGUCCGAGUUGUAAUUUGUAGAGGAUGCUUUUGGCGCGGUGCCUUCCGAGUUCCCUGGAACGGGACGCCUUAGAGGGUGAGAGCCCCGUACGGUUGGACACCAAGCCUCUGUAAAGCUCCUUCGACGAGUCGAGUAGUUUGGGAAUGCUGCUCUAAAUGGGAGGUAAAUUUCUUCUAAAGCUAAAUAUUGGCCAGAGACCGAUAGCGCACAAGUAGAGUGAUCGAAAGAUGAAAAGCACUUUGAAAAGAGGGUUAAAUAGCACGUGAAAUUGUUGAAAGGGAAGCGUUUGCGACCAGACCUUUUCCUAGCGGAUCAACCGGUGUUCUCACCGGUGCACUUCGCUAGGUUUAGGCCAGCAUCGGUUUCUGUAGGGGGAUAAAAGCUCUGGGAACGUAGCUCCUCCGGGAGUGUUAUAGCCCUCUGCAUAAUACCCUUACGGGGACCGAGGACCGCGCUUCGGCAAGGAUGCUGGCGUAAUGGUCGUCAACGAC
rnacentral:rRNA from 1 species